AUUGAACGCUGGCGGCAGGCCUAACACAUGCAAGUCGAACGAGUGGCGGACGGGUGAGUAAUGUCUGGGAAACUGCCCGAUGGAGGGGGAUAACUACUGGAAACGGUAGCUAAUACCGCAUACCAUCGGAUGUGCCCAGAUGGGAUUAGCUAGUAGGUGGGGUAACGGCUCACCUAGGCGACGAUCCCUAGCUGGUCUGAGAGGAUGACAAGCCACACUGGAACUGGAACACGGUACAGACUCCUACGGGAGGCAGCAGUGGGGAAUAUUGAACAAGGGGCGCAAGACUGAUGCAGCCAUGCCGCGUGUAUGAAGAAGGCCUUCGGGUUGGAAAGUACUUUCAGCGAGGAGGCGUUACUCGCAGAAGAAGCACCGGCUAACUCCGUGCCAGCAGCCGCGGUAAUUC
rnacentral:rRNA from 1 species